GACGAACGCUGGCGGCGUGCUUAACACAUGCAAGUCGAACGAAGUGGCGAACGGGUGAGUAACGCGUAAUCAACCUGCCCUUCAGAGGGGGACAACAGUUGGAAACGACUGCUAAUACCGCAUACUGAAGGAGGGGAUUGCGUCUGAUUAGCUAGUUGGAGGGGUAAGGUCCCACCAAGGCGAUGAUCAGUAGCCGGUCUGAGCGGAUGACCAGCCACACCGGGACUGAGACACGGCCCGGACUCCUACGGGAGGCAGCAGUGGGGAAUAUUGCGCAAUGGGGGCAACCCUGACGCAGCCAUGCCGCGUGAAUGAAGAAGGCCUUCGGGUUGUAAAACUCUGUUGUUAGAGAAGCGGUAUCUAACCAGAAAGCCACGGCUAACUACGUGCCAGCAGCCGCGGUACUAC
rnacentral:rRNA from 1 species